CAGUGGUAAUGCAAAUCUUCCAUUCUACCACAUCCCAAAGUUUCUAUUUCAGUAAUAUCUGUGGACUGUGGAGGCCGUUUUAGUACUGUGAACUCAUUUUAAUGUUAAGAAACAUGUUUGAGCACUAAUGACGCAUGUCUGCAUUUCAAUGACAGCAGAUGUGAACUACAAGAGGGACCUGUUUGUAUCACGAUGGAAGAAAUGGAUGGACUAUAUUAAAAAACGCAGGCCAGUUUUUGAUUUGACGAUGUUAACUACUAGAAGACUAGAGGAAAUAUUACUUAUAUUAAUGGAAACAAAAACACACUCCCUACAUGCCUUUUGUAUUUUUUUUCUGCUUUGCUUCUUUUUCUAUUUUCUUUCUUUCUUUCUUUUCUUUCUUUCUUUCUUUUCUUUUUUUGUCUUCUUUCAUUCCUUUUGUAUGGAUAUUUUAGUUGUUUAAAUACAGAAAAAAGAAAAAUACAUGUAGUGGCAAAUUGUUGGAGUUGAUGGUAUUGUACAGUGAUUCCUAAAUGCCAAUUAAAAAACAAAAACAAAACAAGUUUAAGGCCCCAAAACGGUGCAACUACUAGCGACUCCACACCUCCUUACCUCAACAUGAAUCAGGGAAAAUAGUUGUUGACAGCUCGUUAAACCCUGAAACACAAGAGUGUUUGGAAUGCAUUAUCUUAUUUUAGUCUUAUGGCUCUUGGUCAAACCCUAGACACUUUGUGUUAUACUGAGUGAUGAAGGACGCACACAAACAGACACGCACACAUGAAAGCAAGUCCUUGCUCAGGAAAUUUGAUGUCUGGCUCCUAUUUUACUUUGAUAAUCUUGGUGUAUGAGUGCGUGCCAUUGCUGAGAUCCCCACUCUGUCUGUAUCUGUCCGGCCUCACUCACCUCGUCACCAUUCUGCUUUGUUUCUUUCAGUCAUUUCCUCUUUACCUUUAUCAUUGUCUGAAGGUUUUACGUUAAGAUUUAUUAAGUGAGUUUUCACUUAUAUAUUUAAUAAUUGAAAUACAUUUUAUUUAAAGUAAAAAUGGCAAGAUAAUUUAAGAAAAUGAGAUUGAUUAAAUAACCAUGAAAAACCACUGCAAGUGUUAAACACUGUCCUCUCUUCUGUAUUAUAAGAUGAAUAUUAUCAAAUAUUGUAAGGUAAAAAUAUUGUAUGAUAAAGACCCUACAAUAACACGGGAAUGCAUUUUCCACACUCACUGAAAUGGGUGCUCAGGAUACUUUAUGGCCUUUUCUGCCUUUAUAACUUUUGAUUAAUCCUUGUUUUUCUUUGCUGAGACUUGGUGAACAAGCCAAAAAGAAACCUCUCCUUUUAACAAAACCUGCUCCUUAAGCUGACUUUUUUCUGAUUCACUGCCCCUCAUAUACAUGGCUUUAAACAACCGGUGAGUGGGGCUUCUGUGUUUGUGUAGACUCAAGUUUUAACUCACAGGAAUUACUUGCCACUGACCACAUAAUGUGAAUAUUUGGUUAUGUUUAGUAUGAGCAACCACCACUCUUAACAGUGUGUACAUACUAUCAGAUCCUCCCCAACACUGGAUACUUUUAAAAGUCGUCUAAAGACCCAUUUUUAUUCUCUGGCUUUUGAUUCAUCAUGAGUUUGUUACUAUAAUUCUUUUUAAUGAUUUUAUUCUCUUUUUAAUGAUUUUAUUCCCUUUUUAAUGAUUUUAUUUCCUUUUUUAUUUUUUUAUUCUCUUCUAAAACACUAUUGUGUUUUUUUAUGUUUAUUUCCUUGUCCAUUUUAUUGUACAGUACUUUGGCCAACACCUGUUGUUUUAAAAGUGCCAUAUAAAUAAAUUUGAACUUGAACUACAUACACCAGAAAAUGAGGAAAAGCAUAGGCUGACUUUAAAAUUAUGGAUUCAUUUACUUGUACUUGCAAAGCAAAGACUCCUUCUUAAAAUACAAGAUAUACAUCUGUCACAAUGUUUCAGUUUCAGUGCGAGGAGCUGCAGGAUGUAAUGUGGCAUGUAAGAUAGAGACUCACCAUUUUAGUGCACAAUUUAAGCAUUCAAAUCAUGCAUAGACCAUUAAUUCCAAGAGUCUUGCAGGGUUAGAGCAGGUGGCAUAAUGAGCUGCUAUUGAUGUGACUUUCUUAUGUUCGGUUACCUUCUUUCGUAACAAUGGCACAAGAAUUCCCAC
ensembl:lncRNA